UACGAAGGGGGCUAGCGUUGCUCGGAAUCACUGGGUGUAAAGGGUGCGUAGGCGGGUUUUUAAGUCAGGGGUGAAAUCCUGGAGCUCAACUCCAGAACUGCCUUUGAUACUGAAGAUCUUGAGUCCGGGAGAGGUGAGUGGAACUGCGAGUGUAGAGGUGAAAUUCGUAGAUAUUCGCAAGAACACCAGUGGCGAAGGCGGCUCACUGGCCCGGUACUGACGCUGAGGCACGAAGGUCAGGGGAGCAAACGGG
rnacentral:rRNA from 1 species